UACGGGGGGGGCAAGCGUUGUUCGGAAUUACUGGGCGUAAAGGGCUCGUAGGCGGCCAACUAAGUCAUACGUGAAAUCCCUCGGCUUAACCGGGGAACUGCGUCUGAUACUGGAUGGCUUGAGUUCGGGAGAGGUGAGUGGAACUGCGAGUGUAGAGGUGAAAUUCGUAGAUUAUCGCAAGAACACCAGUGGCGAAGGCGGCUCACUGGCCCGAUACUGACGCUGAGGCACGAAAGCGUGGGGAGCAAACAGG
rnacentral:rRNA from 1 species